rnacentral:rRNA from 1 species
UACGGAGGAUUCAAGCGUUAUCCGGAUUUAUUGGGUUUAAAGGGUGCGUCGGCGGGUCGGCAAGUCAGUGGUGAAAUCCUGCAGCUUAACUGUAGAAUUGCCAUUGAUACUGCUAAUCUUGAGUAUAUUUGAAGCGGGCGGAAUGUGUCAUGUAGCGGUGAAAUGCUUAGAUAUGACACAGAACACCAAUUGCGAAGGCAGCUCGCUAAACUAUAACUGACGCUGAAGCACGAAAGCGUGGGGAUCAAACAGG